GUUGCAUGUGCUCGCUUCUAACAAUUUUAUCCAAACACCUGUGCACUUUUGUGAAGAGGGUCUUGCAGGAUGGAUUACUGGUCUUCCAGUGAUUUUCUUGUGGGUUCCCUUCUUCCCCCAUACAUACUCCUUCAGUAUUAUUGAAUGUGCUUGUGCCACAAGGCUUAUAAAUGUAAUACAACUUUUAACAACGGAUCUCUUGGCUCUCGCAUCGAUGAAGAACGCAGCGAAAUGCGAUAAGUAAUGUGAAUUGCAGAAUUCAGUGAAUCAUCGAAUCUUUGAACGCACCUUGCGCUCCCUGGUAUUCCGAGGAGCACACCUGUUCGAGUGUCGUGAAAUUGUCAGACUGUUGAAGCUUUUUGACUUUGGUUAAAAGUUAUCUCAGUUUGGUGUUGGGCUCUGCCGUGCCUUAUAGGAACGGCUGGCCUUAAAAGCAUUAGCCUGACCCUUGUGAGUGUGUUGGUUCUACUCAGUGUGAUAAUUGUUUCUGACCACUGAGGACAUCUUCCGAGAUGGCCAAUUCUCAUUUGGGGUUGCUUCUAAUCUGGUUGGUAGGUUGCUGAAUCUGCCCCACUUCU
rnacentral:rRNA from 1 species